rnacentral:rRNA from 1 species
UACAGAGGCCUCGAGCGUUGUUCGGAAUUACUGGGCGUAAAGGGCUCGUAGGCGGCCAACUAAGUCAGACGUGAAAUCCCUCGGCUUAACCGGGGAACUGCGUCUGAUACUGGUUGGCUUGAAUCCGGGAGAGGGAUGUGGAAUUCCAGGUGUAGCGGUGAAAUGCGUAGAUAUCUGGAGGAACACCGGUGGCGAAGGCGGCAUCCUGGACCGGUAUUGACGCUGAGGAGCGAAAGCCAGGGGAGCAAACGGG